AACGAACGCUGGCGGCGCGUUUUAAACAUGCAAGUCGAACGAGAACCUUGGUGCUUGCAUUGAGGGGACAGUGGCGAACGGGUGAGUAACACGUGGAUAAUCUACCUCUAGGAUGGGGACAACCACUGGAAACGGUGGCUAAUACCAAAUGAUAUGGUUAUUACAUAAGUAGUGAUCAUCAAAGGUGGGGACCUUCGGGCCUAUCGCCUGGAGAUGAGUCCGCGGCCCAUUAGCUUGUUGGUGAGGUAAAGGCUCACCAAGGCGACGAUGGGUAGCCGGCCUGAGAGGGUGAACGGCCACAUUGGGACUGAGACACGGCCCAGACUCCUACGGGAGGCAGCAGUUAAGAAUCUUGCGCAAUGGGCGAAAGCCUGACGCAGCGACGCCGCGUGGACGAUGAAGGCCUUCGGGUUGUAAAGUCCAAUAAG
rnacentral:rRNA from 1 species